rnacentral:lncRNA from 1 species
AUGGAGAUCCCAGGCGUCCGACUCCUAUGCCUGGAGCAACUGGACCGUUCGCUGGAGGACCAUACCAGGGACUUUUUCGAUCUGGCGUGCCUUACAGACUUCCCGGACCGCGCGCUCAGUGCGUUUUACUAUGCUGGCCUGAGCGAGCGGUGUAAGGCACGCCUCCCAGCGAACGGUCCCAGAGAGGAUUUCGCCGCGUUCGUGGAGUGGGUGCUGGAGCAAAACGGAUCUCCGUUCACCGUCUGCCCCACUCCCGACCCAGAGACCAGCCAGCCAUCACCCCGCUGCACGGAGCUAGAGACCGCCGCAGCCGCAGAGCCCGAGCCUAUCGCCGACAGGGAGGAGGAACUCGAGAGCGCGACUGACCAGGUGUGUGAGCCGGCAACCCCGUGCGUCGUGGGACGUUUGGUGGAGAUCGAGGGCGUGGAGGAGCGCCCCGCCCACACUCCUGCGACUGAGGGUGAGCUGCAUGUGGUUUCUGGGAAGUAUACAGAAGAAAUUAUGGAUCUAAUAGACUGGUUUGGGGAGGUUAUUCCUGAUCCUUCUGUUCCUUCGCUGGUUCUGUCCAGCCCUGAUCCUCCUGUGUUCCCUCCCAACCUCCCUCUCCCACCUCCUCUUCGACCUGUCAGUUCCUCUGCUCCUCUUCCGCUGGUUCCUUCCCUGCCUCCGCCUCCAGCCUCCGAGUCCUGGACUCCUCCUCGGUCCUUCGACCCGGCGGCUCCGCCUUGGCUCCUAGCUCCCUCGUCUCCACCGUGGCCCGGCAUCCCACCUGCUCCACCGGGCUCCCUCGUCCCUCCGGCUCCACCUUGGUCAGUCGUCGACCAUCCGCCGCCUCGGGACUCCAUUCCUCUGGCUUCGCCUCGUCGCUCCAUCCCUCCGGCUCUGUCAGGCUCCUCCUUCCCUUCGGCUCCACCUCCAUCCUCAGUCACUCCGGCUCCGCAGCGGUCUUCCGGUGCCCCGCCUCCGCCUUGGUCGCCUGAGCCUUCUGCUCCGCCUUGGCCCUCCGGAUCCUCGGGGUCACCCUGGCUCUGCGGUUGCUCGGCUCCGUCUUGGACUCCUCUACCAUCGGCUCAGUCUCCGUCAGUCGGCCCCCUGGUGUUGUCGGCCCCUCCUCCACCAUGGCUCCUCCCACCGUCGACUCCACCAUGGUCCGCUUUCCUGGCUGGCCUCUGGAUAUCCAUCUGGCUCCUACUGCUCCGGGCUCCUCCAUGGCUCCUCCCUCCAUCCACUCCACCCUGGUACCAUGCUCCAUGCUCCUUCUCCAUUGCCUGCCCCUUGCCUGCCCCACGCCCACCUCCUGAACCUCCACCCUCCCUCCGCUGGACUAUCUCUUUCGGUGCGAGGACGCACCGUUCCGGGAGGGGGCGAACUGUCACAGUCAUGGACUUUCUGUUCCUUUUGUGUCAUCCUUAUUUGGUCAUGUUCCGUUCCUCGUUUUGUUAA